rnacentral:rRNA from 1 species
UACGUAGGUGGCAAGCGUUGUCCGGAUUUACUGGGCGUAAAGAGCGCGCAGGCGGUCGUACAAGUCGCGUGUGAAAGCCCCCGGCUCAACUGGGGAGGGUCACGCGAUACUGUUCGACUCGAAGGCAGGAGAGGGAGCAGAAUUCCCGGAUGUAGUGGUGAAAUGCGCAGAUAUCAGGAGGAACACCGAUGGCGAAGGCAGGUCUCUGGGCAUUAACUGACGCUGAGGAGCGAAAGCAUGGGGAGCGAACAGG